CACGUAGGGUGCGAGCGUUGUCCGGAAUUAUUGGGCGUAAAGAGCUCGUAGGCGGUGUGUCGCGUCGGCCGUGAAAACCUGCAGCUUAACUGUGGGCUUGCGGUCGAUACGGGCAUCACUGGAGUUCGGCAGGGGAGACUGGAAUUCCUGGUGUAGCGGUGAAAUGCGCAGAUAUCGAGGAGGAACACCGGUUGGCCGAAGGCGGGUCUCUGGGGCCGA
rnacentral:rRNA from 1 species